rnacentral:rRNA from 1 species
GAUGAACGCUGGCGGCGUGCCUAAUACAUGCAAGUCGAGCGAACAGACGAGGAGCUUGCUCCUCUGACGUUAGCGGCGGACGGGUGAGUAACACGUGGAUAACCUACCUAUAAGACUGGGAUAACUUCGGGAAACCGGAGCUAAUACCGGAUAAUAUAUUGAACCGCAUGGUUCAAUAGUGAAAGACGGUUUUGCUGUCACUUAUAGAUGGAUCCGCGCCGCAUUAGCUAGUUGGUAAGGUAACGGCUUACCAAGGCAACGAUGCGUAGCCGACCUGAGAGGGUGAUCGGCCACACUGGAACUGAGACACGGUCCAGACUCCGACGGGAGGCAGCAGUAGGGAAUCUUCCGCAAUGGGCGAAAGCCUGACGGAGCAACGCCGCGUGAGUGAUGAAGGUCUUCGGAUCGUAAAACUCUGUUAUUAGGGAAGAACAAAUGUGUAAGUAACUAUGCACGUCUUGACGGUACCGAAGCAGAAAGCCACGGCUAACUACGU